GAUUUCUGGUCUGAUGUGCCUGGCCCGCCGGCGUUAGUCGUGUGAGUGUCGGGACGCGUCUGCCAUCCUUCUAGAAAACGUUUCUACUCUUCAUUGAGCCGGAGACGCUAUCUAGAUCUUUUACUUUGAAAAAAUUAGAGUGUUUCAAGCAGGCUUUAUGCUAUGAAUACAUUAGCAUGGAAUAAUAAUUUAGGACUUCGGUUCUAUUUUGUUGGUUUCUAGGACUGAAGUAAUGAUUGAUAGGGAUAGUUGGGGGUGCUAGUAUUCAGCGGCCAGAGGUGAAAUUCUCGGAUUCGCUGAAGACUAACUUAUGCGAAAGCAUU
rnacentral:rRNA from 1 species